ensembl:lncRNA
AAAGUUGUGAGUGUACAGCUUGUGUAACAGUGUAAAUUUGCUGUCCCCUCAAAAUAACUCAACACACAGACAUUAAUGUCUAAACCACUGGCAACAAAAGUGAGUACACCCCUAAGUGAAAAUGUCCAAAUUGGGCCCAAAGUGUCAAUAUUUUGUGUGGCCACCAUUAUUUUCCAGCACUGCCUUAACCCUCUUGGGCCAGGAGUUCACCAGAGCUUCACAGGUUCCACUGGAGUCCUCUUCCACUCCUCCAUGACCACAUCACGGAGCUGGUAGAUGUUAGAGACCUUGUGCUCCUCCACCUUCCGGAUAUCAAAUGUGAGGGGUGUACUCACUUUUGUAAGAUACUGUAUGUAUAACUUGUCAACUCCUGCUAACCCAUUGUGUACAGUACAUACUGUAAGUGCAAACAGCUGUUGUGCACAUCAGGAUGUCCUGAAACAGGGUGCCUUCCAGAAGGACGUGACAGGCUAAACAUGCCUCACACUUUUGAUCAAAUUUGAGUUCAACAUUUGGCGAAUUUUGACACAGGUAUUUACCAAUAGCAAAGCAGCUUUGAAUGCACUGUGGUCCAGUGUAGAAAGAAAGAUCUUAUCAAAUAACACUUCACUGGAUUACAGAUUGUCAGUGAGAUGGGUGGACAAUACAUUCGGUUAGCCAGACAACUAACUAACCAAUGGUAGCUAUUCAAACUUUCAUUGUAGAAAACUUUGUUUAGACAUGGGAUUUAAUCCCCCUUAAUUCAUUGACAGAAACUGUAAUUGAGAUGACAUAAUUGUAACCUGCUCCUCAUUUCUACAAAGCUAUCAAGAGCUGAGGAAUUGGUAAAAUCACUAUUCUUCUAAUCGCCCCUUCUUUGCAAUGGCAUAAAUCCCAAGUACCUGGUGUGUCGAACCUUUACCGUUGAACCUAAUGCGAUGCUAUUGCAAUGUGCAGUUCAGGGAUGCAGGAUGCAAGUGACUGACCCAUCUGAUGCAAGUGAGCCGGCAUGGAAUUCUUUACGGUCAAUAUGAAAAUCAUUAUCAAAAGUUGUAGCAGGGGUCAGAUAACAGGCCAACAAUAUCAAACAGGGAUAAGCAUAAUCAGGGACUGGGAUAACAGGUGGGAGUAUGAACAAGGAAGUACUACAAGAAACAAAAGUAACAGCAAACACAGGAAACUGAAGGGGUAGUUCACCCAAAAAUGAAAAUUCUGUCAUCAUUUACUCACCCUCAUAUCGUUCCAAACCCAUACAACUUUCGUUCAUCUUCGGAACACAAAGGAAGACAUUUUAUUGAGACCUGGGAGACUUCUGUCCCUCCUUUUACAGUCCAGUAACCAAAACUUUCAAGCUCCAAAAAGUUCAUAAAGGUAUUGUAAAAGUAAUCCAUGUGACUCCAGUGGUUUAAUCCCAAUUUUAUGAAGCAAUACGAAUGCUUUGUGUGCGCAAAAAAAAAACAAACCCAAAAUGAAGUCUUUUGUACAUAAAACAUCUUCACUUCCACAUAGAUCUCCGAUGCACGUUCAUGAGAGAACCACAACGCGUCCGUGGAUUUUUUUUUUUAAUUUAAAUCCUGUAAGUUGAUAGGCUAUUUGGGGCGGCGGCACCACAUUGGUUUUCCACUGAACAGCACUGAUUAAAAACUGACCAACCUGUUGUUCAGGCAAUACUACAGUUCAGCUCAGAGAAUUUCUGUGUCCAUUUCUAUAUUUAUUACAGAGAAAACUCUGUGUGUAUGGAUAAAACUAACGGAUACAUGAUUAUUAUUUGAAAUGGCUACUAGACCACAUAAAGCUCAUGCCUCAGUGUGUCUCUCAGGAGCACAUUCAUCACAGGUGCUUCAGCACAGUAGAAGUGCUCGGAGUUAUCAGUGAAACAUUCUCCCAUAUGUCUCCACUGCCUUUUUAUCUACAACAGCAGCCUGCAGGCAACCUACAACCUUAACCCACUGUACAUCUGACCUCCAACACGGACUCACUCCAUUCUCAAAUGUGUGUGUGUGUGUGUGUGUGUGUGUGAUGGAGAGAAACUAAAAUGAGAGAGAAUUUUCUGCAGUAUCACAUGGCACUGUACUGAAAGGGAAUAAAAGCAAGCAGAUGAAUACCAAAUGCCCAUCUUCAUGCUCCGAGUGGCAAAAGAGUAGGCACAAGAGCAACGACAUUGAGUUAUUCGGCUUAUUUUACAUUUAAGCAGUGCAGGAAAACCCUAACUACUAAAAGGAUGUGCAAGCUAAUUGUCCUCAUUAGCAUGAUAUAUGACCCAUAAAUUCUCAUUCGCCGAAGAAUCCGCUUUGAAAAACGAGAAGUGUCCUUUUUAAAUUUUUAAUUACACGGCCCGCACACAAUGAUUCAUAUAUUAAUAGUGAGAGUGAAAGCGCUAUCAUUCUAUGCUCGAUGCUUUAUGUUACAAAUGGAAGUUGUAUGACCACAUACAGUCCCCUUCAAAACUAUUGGAAAAAUAGACUUGGUCAAUUAAUUUUUUGUUUGUGCUAUACACCAAAGACAUUUGGGUUUGAGCUCAAAAGAUGGAUAUGAGACAAGAGUUUAGGAUUUCAGCUUUUAUUUACUAGUAUUUACAUCUAGAUGUGUUAAACAAUAUAAAACAUACAACCUUUUAUAUCAGAUCACCACAUUUUUAGGUGAGCAAAAGUAUAGGAACAGACAAGUCUUAGAGUAAAUUAAAGUAAAUAACACUUAAUAUUUGGUUGCAUAGCCCUUGCUUGCAAUAACUGCAUCAAGCCUGUGACUCAGUGACAUCACCAAAUUGUUGGUUUCUUCUUUUGCGAUGCUUUUCCCGGCUUUCACCGCAGCCUCUUCAGUUAUUGUUUGUUUCUGGGUUUUCUCCCUUCAGUCUCCUCUUCAGAAGGUGAAAUGCUGCUCAGUUGGGUUAAGGUCUGGUGAUUGACUUGGCCAGUCUAAAACCUUUCACUUUUUCUCUUGAUGAAGUCCUUUUUGAGUUGGCGAGGUGUUUUGGGUCAUUGUUGUGCUGCAUGAUGAAGUUCCUCCCAAUUAGAUUGGAUGCAAUUCUCUGUAUAUUGGCAGACAAAAUGUUUCUGUAGAAUUCUGCUGCUACCAUCAUGAGUUACAUCAUCAAUAAAGAUUAGUGAGCCUGUUCCAGAAGCAGCCAUACAAGCCCAAGCCAUGAUACUACCUCUACCAUGUUUCACAGAUCAGCUUGUAUGUUUUGGAUCAUGAUAGCUUUCUGAUCUUCAUGUAGGCUUAUCCUUUUUAACAACAAAUGCAUUUACAUUACAUUUACAUUUAUGGCAUUUGGCAGACACCCUUAUCCAGAGCGACUUAUAGAAGUGCUUUGAACACUAGGUCACGGACUAAGAUACCAUCAGUCGAAAAACUCUGUUGGGAGGUAAUAUAGUAAAAAGAACACGCAGACAACAGAAACACCUGGGUAACAAGAAAUGCCUGUCAGUCGCAUGUUCCAAUAUUUUUGCUCACCUACAAAUUGGGUGGUCUAACACAUCUAUGUUGUUUAACACAUCUUCAUAUAAAUACCAGGAAAUAAAAGCAGAAUUACUAAACUGUCUUCUUAUAUUCAUCCCAAACCCAAAUGUCUUCAGUCUACUGCAAAAACAAAUGAAUUGGCGUUGCCGUUGCAAUAGUUUCAGAGUGGACUGUAUGUUGAUUAUUAGCCAGCAUCCUUUUCUCACGUACACUAUAUGGCCAAAAGUAUGCGGAAUCUGACCACCACAACCAGAUAUGUUUGUUGAACAUCCCUUUCCAAAAUCAUGGGCAUUACCAUCGUGUAUUUCCCUUAAGCCCAAGUGCUGAAUGAAGGACAAAUGCACUAACUAGUAUUACUUUCAGGGCUGACACAAUCUCCUGGCCCACCUCAACCUCUCGACAACAUAACAUCUCGACAACCUCUCGACAACAUAAUGUCAAAGUAGGUCGGUAGAACGACGGUUCUACUUAGUUUACAUUUACCAGAUGAUAUAGAUCAGACUUAGAAAACUCCCUUUUAAUAUCUUUACAUAAAAUCCCAUUCAUACUGUAUGUAUGAUGGUUAUGAUGGCUGUAGUAUAGCAGAAAAGUCCAAAAUAUUUCAUUGUGAACCGACUAGACUUUGGAGAAAGUGCAAUAGUCACAUGUUGAUUAUGGAAUCUGAGAGCCAUCCAUGAAGACACAAGUUUUGAAGGAGGGAUGGAGGUGGAAUGGCUGUCCCAGGGGUGAGGUCGGAGUUGUUGGGCAGCUGUCUGUAAUUAAUCCCUUUCCAGGUGCCUGGCCUCCGGCAUCUGUGAGAGCAGUAGAGCCACAGCUCCGGGGUGGCCUGUGUCCAGUGUUCAGGGACACACAUCAAUAAGAUUCAUUAUGCUUUAUUUAAUGGUGGAUCAGCAACACAAAUGCAUGCACACAAGCACUAAACUAACAUAUUGGUCCAUUCGAAUAGUCAACUUCUAUCAUCCACACAGUAAUGAACUAGUCUGAACUAUUUAAAGGGAAAUGAUAUACAGUGUGCAUAAUUUACAUACCCUUAUGGCAAAAAAUUAAAGGGUCACAGAUCUAUGGAGGCUUAUGUCUUUCACACGAGAAAAGCAACACAUCCAUUCCAUUUUGCAUAUUUGGGUUAAUGAAUAUGUAGUUUUAGGUGUUUCUACCUAGUACAUGGCAGUGUCUAGGCAGCUCAAUUUUGCACUCACAAUAUGAUUGAGUAAUGGUGAUUAGGUGUGCAAAUGAAUACUUCCAGAGAGCAUGUAUUAAAUUUGCAAAAAUCCCCACGUUUCCACCACCGGAAGGCAAAAUUAUACCACAAUUUUUUUUUUUAAAUAAUGGAAAUGAUGCCUUAGUAAAAUAAUCAGAAGUUAUUGCUUAAUAUUACCAGGGUAACAUAGGUCUCAUAUUAGAUAUUCACUGAGAGCAUUUAAACUGAGCCUUUGAAAAGGUUUUCAUUCACAUACUGUAUACCUUAUUCACAUAAUACAUGCACAUAUCGACAGUUAUUAUACAUUUAUUCAUGUCAUAUUUUUAAAGGUUUUUUUAAUGUCUCACUGCCUUUACUCAAGUUCAGUUUGCUCUUCUUUUACUCUCGUAGUCGAACUUCAUGAUGUCGCAGCACAUAGCAUUGUUGCCUUAUACCUUAUAGCUUCGGGGCCUAUGGUUUAAUCCUGAGCUCAGGUUCCUGUCUGUGUAGAGUUUCACAUGUUCUUUCCACAUCUGCGUGGGUUUCAUAUGGGUCCUCGAGUUUCCUCCCACCUCCCAAUAACACGCCAGUAGGUGGACUGGUAAUACUAAAUUACCAGUAGAUGUGAACAAGUGUGUGAACGAUUGUUUAUGGUGCCCGGUGAUGGACUGGUGCAUGAAGGGUGUUUUCCUGCCUCACACCCAGUGUUUCCGAGAGGCUCUGAAUCCAAGUGACGCUGACCAGGAUAAAGACGCCACUGAAUAUGAAUGAAUGAUAUUCUUAGAGAGAUGUACACAUAGUGACUAUUGGGAACAUUUAAGACACACAAAAACCUCAUUUCCAUAUUGAUUCCUCACCCCACAGUACUUUGCACAUGACGUAAUUCACUCAGACAUUUCCUUAGUAAAUCACCCGCAACACACCCUUUACAAUUUUAAUACACUGCAUAUGCAAAAGAUGCAUUUAAAAUUUUACUGAGUAGUUUUUACAACAAUUACAUAAAGCUGAUGAUGCUCACUGAUAUAUGAAAGGUAUCUAAAUCUAUAAUGUCAGAGCUGAUUCUUGUUUCGACUGCCACAUUCUUCCUUUUCUACUUUCAAGGAUUGAAAAAUAUGUUGCUUUUUACUGCUUGUUUACUUUCUCUCUCUCUCUCUCUCUCUCUCUCUCUCUCUCUCUCUCUCUCUCUCUCUCCCCCACCUCCGCCCAACAGUAAGUCUCACACUGAAAGUGAGGCCAAGUGUUCUUGGGUGAAAGGGGUUCCUGAGGAGUUAAUGACGACCUACUAUGACUAAUGGCGAAAAGCCAUGACAAAAUAAGACAAAUGGUUUGGACUAACUUCAUUACCUUAGUGACAGCUUGACAGCAUCAUCAUUUAAUGUGGUGUGUUUCAUCUGCGUCUCAUUUGGAAACAAAAGCUUUUGUGGCGGUGUUCCUUUUCCUUAAUAUGAAAAUGGGCAGGUAUCAAAUCUCCCUCAGCCAAGACGUAAAUUAAGAGUCUCUUUUCAGAAGUAAAAGUUCUAUCGUCACUUUUUCUGUACUAACAAAACAAAACAAAACGCAACACCAACCAUUCCUAAGGUUUUAUUCAAAAUAAAUUAUCAAAUGGAAAUCUGAAAAUCAACUGUCAACUGAAAUGGACUCAUUGGGCCCUCUCUAUUGAUUUGUGGAUAUAAACGUGCCUCUCUUAAUCACAGAUGCCCCAAAAACACAUCUCCUUCGCAUAGAGUUGAUCAUGUUGUUGUGUCCUGUGGAAUUUGUCCCAGUUUUCUUCUAUUGCUGUCAGGUAUUGGUGCACACUGCUGUAUGCACCAAUCCAGAGCAUCCCAUAGAUGCUCAGUGGGUGACAUGCAGGUCAUGGAAAAACUGGGACAUUUUGAGCUGCCAGGAACUUUGUGAAGAGAACUGUACAGAAAUUCUUCUACUGUGCAAACCAACAGCCGCACUGUCUGUAUGGCUGGUCUCAGAUGAUCCCACAGGUAAAUUAUUGAGUCUAUAUUUUUGUUCCCAUUCACACCUGAGACCUUGUAUCACUAACAAGUCACAUGACACCGGGGUGGGAAAAUGGAUAAUUGGGCCCAAUUUGGGCAUUUUCACUUAGGGGUGUACUCACUUUUGUU